AAACAUUUUAUACAUAUCAUCUUCUCCGAACCACCGGAACACCAUGGCAAGAAGAACCAAGCUUCGGCUUUGCUUCAAUUCAUGGAUGGUAAGCCAUCUUUCAUCCGAUUCUUUUAAUUUUUUUGUUUUUGAAAUCGUUGCAAUUAGGUCUAGCUAACUCGAACUUUCGAUUUUGAAACUGUUAAAGAUUUUGAAUGUUGCCAUUAAUGAAUCUUGUGUGAUUUUUUUAUGUUAAACGAUGAAUCUGAGAUAUUAAUUGUUAUUUAAAAGUAUUUUAUUAAGUGAUUUUUAAUGAAUUUUUUGAUUAGGGACUAAAUUAUUGAAAUAGUAAAAAUACAAGGAUUUUUUAUGAAAUUAUUGUAAAAAUGAAUUGUAUUGAAUGCCAUGAUUAUUUUGCUAGCAUGGGUUUGCAUUAAAAAAUGGUUAAUUUGUAUGUUUUGGGCUCAGGGACUAAAUUGAAUAAAAGUAAAACUUUAGGGGUAAUUUUGUAAAAAUUUCAAAAAUGACUAAAUUACAUUAAAUGAAUUUUUUUAUUUUAUAAAUUAAUAAAUUGAAUGAAAUUAUUAAUUUAGAUCAAAAUCGAGUGGAAAAUCGAGAAAAAUAGAAAAUUACCAAAAUGCCUUUUAAUAUUGGUGUUUCUGUAAUUUAGCCUAGUAAGUUCGUACGGUUAAAAUUUAACAUUUUUAUAAAUUGAUGAUUGGUAUUAUAUAUAUGUUCUAUUGUUGGAACUGAAUUAUUGUUGGAAAUAUAUUAUCGAAUUUAAUACUCAGUUUGGAUUGAACGCGAGAUUUGAGUACAUUCAUGAUUUGGUGUAUGACGGGGGUUUGGAGUGGAGAUGGUACUAGAGGGAGAUAUCGGUAUUUUACCCGAGUAAAUCGCAGUUCAGAAUUUGUUGCGAACUCUCGCAUUUUACUUUCUGUUUGGCGUGAUUCGAGUGGAUCAGCUCUUACAAGCUUUUGUUCAGCUCUUUUGAGCUUCUGUUGGCAUGUUUGGGAGGACCAUCUCUUAUGAGCUUCUGUUGACGAUGUACUCUUACCUGUAAGUCGUUCUUCGUAAGGAAAAUCUCGGUAAGAUAAUUUGUUUUUAUUGAAUAUUACCUGAACAUAAAUGAAUUCAUCAGUUGAGAUGGUGCAUAAUGCUUAGGUUUGUGCUAAGCUUUUGGUUGCAUUAUAUCAUGUUGAAUAUUAGUGAUAUACAUUGACAUGGUAAUUGGUUAAAUGGAAAUAAGCUUAUGUUCAUAAAAGGGUGAUAAGAUUCAAAAUGUGUAAUUUCUUAUAAAAUGGUUUGUCAUGUGAUUGACCCCAAAUGAGUUAUAUACAUAAAUGCACUAACUUGUAUAUUGAUGAUGGUGAUUAAGCUUAUGUCAAGCUUGAGAUUAUGAUUGAUAUAUAUACUUAUGUCUAGUAUUAUACAAAUGAAACCAUAAGUUCAUAAUUGAAAUGUGAUAUGAUGAAAAAUGGAUUGAUGAGUUGAAUGCUGUACUUAUAUAUGAGAAAUUACAGAUGUUAUGGUUGAAUUUACCUAUGUUAUGAAUAAAUAUAUUAAUAAAUUAAUUGAUGUUAUUAUUUAAGUUUAUGUUAGGUAAAUGGGAAGGAAAGUAAGUAAAAGAAAUUAUUCAUAGUUUUAUGAAAAGGUUAAUGAUGGUGUAAAAUGAUUUAUAAAAUCUUAUUACGUUAGGAAUGAUUAUAUAUAUGAUGUUGAUAAACUUACUCAUUUAUAAGUUGGUGGUUAUGUAGUUGAUAAAUCUUGAGGCAUUGGUAUAGCUUUAUAUUUAUCAUAUAAAGUUUAUUAUUGAAUUGGAAUAUUAUAUUUAAAGUUUGCUCGAGCUUACUAAGCAUUUAUUGCUUACAUAGUUGUUUACCCCUUACUUUACAGAUUAUCGGAAGUUCAAUUGGGUUGGAAGCUCAUCGAAGAUCUAUCACACUAUCCAUCGGUUCUAUUGGUACUUUCGGAUGUUUAGGUUUUGGUUAUAAUGCAUGUAUAGUUAUUCUGGUUAAUGUUGGCUAUUAGUAUUUUGUUGAGAUUAGCCACUUAUUUGGCUUGUGUUUUGGCACAUUUUGGUUUGUGCAUAUUUACCUUAUAUGGUUGAUGUGUGGUUUGGUUUAUGGUUGUAUAGUGAAAAGUAAAAUGUUAGCGAAAUGCAUUUUAUACAUGUGUUUUGGGAUGUAACACCCCUAACCCGUAUCCGUCGUCGAAAUAGGGUUACAGAGUGUUACAAGUUACCAGUACAUACAGAACAUUUACAGAUUAAUCAAAACAUUACUAUUAACUUUCUG
rnacentral:lncRNA from 1 species